rnacentral:rRNA from 1 species
CCCUUAGAUGUUCUGGGCUGCACGCGCGCUACACUGAUGCGUUCAACGAGUUUAUGACCUUGCCCGAUAGGGUUGGGUAAUCUUUUUAAAUCGCAUCGUGAUGGGGAUAGAUUAUUGCAAUUAUUAAUCUUCAACGAGGAAUUCCUAGUAAGCGCGAGUCAUCAGCUCGUGCUGAUUACGUCCCUGCCCUUUGUACACACCGCCCGUCGCUCCUACCGAUUGGGUGCUCCGGUGAAUUGUUUGGACUGCUGUCAGUCUUUUAGGCUGUUGGCGAGAAGCUCUGUGAACCUUAGCACCUAGAGGAAGGAGAAGUCGUAACA